AAGAGCUGCAGAAGAGCCAUUGUUCUCUGAAUGUAUGACUCAUACUCCACUAUUAGUGGUGUGUAGGCUACUAAACAUUAAGUCUGAGUUUAACAUGAGUGAGAACUAUUAUAACUGAAUUUUGCUUCUUCUGAAAGAGCUCUUGCCUGAAGAUGCUAAGUUACCCAAUGAUUAUUAUAGAACUAAAUAGAUAGUUGCAAAGCUUAGGUUAGGAUAUGAAAAGAUAGAUGUGUGCAAUAUAGGUUGUAUCCUAUAUUACAAGGUUGUAUCCUAUUUGAUAUGUUGCAUAUGAUCUUUGUUGAAUUUUUAAAUUUCAGCUAUGCAUUUUGUGAUUUUGUGAUAAUUCCUUGCAUAUGAUAUGCUGCAUAUGAUACUUCCUUACAUAUGAUAUGCUACAUUUGAUAAUUCCUUGCAUUUUGAGAUAAACAGGACCUAUGUGUUGUAUUUUAAGCAUUUAUAUGCUGCAUAUGAUCUUUGUUGAACUUUUUAAUUUUAGUUGGGCAAUUUUCAUGGAAAAAUGCUACCAAUAUUGCGUUAAUCGACUCUUAUUGACACAUUACACUUAAAUCCAUUGCUAUGUAAUUAGAAAUACUGAGUUUGCACUCAACAUUUCAUUAGUUAACUCUUAUGUUAUCAAUGCAAAAUCUCUAUUCCUUUGCCCUUAUAGAAACAUAAAUAAGAUCUCUUGUUGAUAAAUAUUGUGAUGUCUGAUAAUAGCUAAUUAAUUUUUUUCUUUUCAGAAUACAUUCACAAGAAAUAUUAAUCAGAAGGUAGGUGAGACAUCAACUAUAAGAAAUGAAGAUGGUUUUGAAGUACAGGAAAGAGAUGUGGGAUUAAACAGAGCAAAAGAGGAAAGUGAGGCACAAGAAUGCAAUGAAGACAAUAAUAUCUUAACUUUGCUACAGAAUAUCCCAAAGGAGCAAGUGUUGAAUACUUGGAUUGACACAAUUGGUGGAGCAAAGAAAGGAAGAGUGUAUGGCCUUGGCUCAAUGACUCAGUUCUAGGAGAAUUAACCCAUGUUAGUUCUGUCCACUCUAAUGCUCCAACUCCUUCAACUGUCCCUCCCCAACAAGUUAUUGAAACACCUGAGUUUGAGCAAGCAGUUAAUCAAGUGGUGGAUCAGCGGGUGGAUGAUCGGGUAGAUCAUCGAAUGGAUCAGCGAAUAGAGCUUAUGCAGGCACAUUUUCGUGAGGAAAUAGAAGCAGCAGUCCAUGCUGUCAUGAGCCGCAUGUUUGGUCUCUUUCCACAACCACCAGGAAAUGGCUUUGGUUCUUCCUCACAAUCACCCCCACAUAUUUAGAGUUUAUGCUAUGGCUUUUGAAGUGUAAAACAUGUUUUGGCUUUAUGUUAUCAUUAGCUUUCAUCUUUGGAAGAUAGUAUUACUUUUUGCAAUGUAUGUGUAUGAGUAUUUUGUUGAUAUUUGAAUGGUUGAUUUUAUAUAUAUGCAUAUUGGAAUUUGAAUGUUUU
rnacentral:misc_RNA from 1 species